GCCAGUGUAGCAUAGUGGUUUGAGCAUUGGAAUAGGACUCUGAAGACCAAGGUUCGGUUCCCAGCUUGGCCA